AUGCAGGCUGAUGUAAGAUGUGGGCUUGUUUCCUCCACUGGCUGUGCUCCUUUGAUAUGUCGGGUGUGUUUCUUUAUCUUGGAGCAGAAGGAGGUCUUCACGGUGGUGGUUGUGGCUUCAGCCUCUGGUGAUGGCCAAGUGGUCAGGAUCUACAGACCUCAGAGCACGUCUGCUAAACACAUCUCAGUCCACUGCAAACAGGACCCAGGGAUUAUCAUCACAGAGAAAUUUCCUCCCGUGAAGCCUGCAUUCACAGUUUAUGGAGCAAAACAAUCAGAAGAGCCUUUCUGGAUGCCUGCUUGUCGGGUGCUGUGAAGGUGCCAAACUAAACAAUGUUAUUGUUACCUCCUGAGACGUGUGCCUAAGAGAAGCUCUGGCUUUUAAAAACCCUCUGCAGUGUCACACGGGUGACCACCUGGACAGGACAGCUCUUCCUCCUCUCAUCCCGUGCCCGUUACUUCUCCUCCCGUGAGUGAAGAGCCUCUCCCUUUCUUUUUCUUUUUUUUUUUUUUUUUUUUGCUUUAAAUUUGUUCUCUCUCCUUUUGGAUAUUAACAAAUUGCAUUUAUUGUUUCCUUUCCAUGUCAUCCUGUCCCAUUAGGUCAAGGCAUUUGAGGGAAUGCAUCUGCAUUGGGAUGUAUGCUUCUGCUCAGGCUGCACGGCUCAAAUGGGGUGAGUUGGACCCUCAGCAUUUUCUCCUUUAUGCACUAUUUUUGACUGAAAACUCAUUUGUCAACAAACAUCGUUUUUGACUUGGGCAGGUGCCUGACAUAAGGCCACCAGGAAGGGUUUGGCUCCCAGCUCGGGUUCCCCUUGGCUUUUCUUCUCAUUUCCACCAUGGCCCUGCUGCAACCACAGUUGUUUGGGGAACGUUUGCAGAGGAAGAGCUGGGGUGAAGGUGGAUUUUUACCAAUCCCAGAGACAUUGUGAGGAAGAGCUCGGUCGUAAUGGUGUUAAGGCAGCACAGGUGUUGCACCAGUAAGGACUGGAAACCUAAGGUGGGUUACAAACUGGCUUGAACCCAGUCGACAGUAUCAGAUGGACUCUUCUUGCAGGUUGUAAAUACCAAAAUUCUAUAUGAAGCUUGGGGAAUUAUAGUAUUUUAAUUUUUAAAAUUUUGCAAGCACAAAUGACUCCUUAGGUGGGCAAAUACGUCUCUUCUCUCAAGUCACAGGCGACAGGACAAGAGGAAAUGGCCUCAAGUUGCACCAGGGGAGGGUCAGGCUGGAUAUUAGGAAAAAUUUUUUCACUGAAAGGGUUCUCAGACAUUGGAAUGGGCUGCCCAGGGAGGGGGUUGAGGCCCCAUCCCUGGAGGUG
rnacentral:lncRNA from 1 species